rnacentral:rRNA from 1 species
UACGUAGGGUGCGAGCGUUGUCCGGAAUUAUUGGGCGUAAAGAGCUUGUAGGCGGUUUUGUCGCGUCUGCCGUGAAAGCCCAGGGCUUAACCCUGGGUCUGCAGUGGGUACGGGGCAGACUAGAGUGCGGUAGGGGAGACUGGAAUUCCUGGUGUAGCGGUGAAAUGCGCAGAUAUCAGGAGGAACACCGGUGGCGAAGGCGGGGUCUCUGGGCAGUAACUGACGUGAGGAGCGAAAAGCGUGGGGGAGCGAACAGG